rnacentral:rRNA from 1 species
GCAUGCUUUUACAGUAUGAAAAUUGGUGAUUUAUAAUAACUUAGCAAAUCGCAAAGUGAAAACAGGCGAUAAAUCAUUCAAGUUUCUGACCUAUCAGCUUUCGACGGUAUGGUAUUGGCUUACCGUGGCAGUGACGGUUAACGGGGGAUUAGGGUUCGAUUCCGGAGAGGGAGCCUGAGAAACGGCUACCACAUCUAAGGAAGGCAGCAGGCGCGCAAAUUACCCAAUUCUAACAGUUUGAGAGAGGUAGUAACAAGAAAUAACAAUACAAGGCAGUUAAAAUGCUUUGUAAUUGGAAUGAUAGAAAUUUAAACCCUUUUUAAAGUAUCAAUUGGAGGGCAAGUCUGGUGCCAGCAGCCGCGGUAAUUCCAGCUCCAAUAGCGUAUAUUAAAAUUGUUGCAGUUAAAAAGCUCGUAGUUGAAGUUCUGCUAAAAGUAACCGGUCUGCUUUGAAUAAAAGUGGUAUCUUGGUAUGUAUUUAGCAAUGAUGUCCUUUGAAGUGUUUUUUACUUUAUUGUAAUAAAGCAUAUUCAGGACUUUUACUUUGAGAAAAUUAGAGUGUUUCUAGCAGGCCAACGCUUUGAAUACUGCAGCAUGG